GUAUAAAAUGGAAAGAAUGAAUGAAAAUGAGAAUGAAAAAAAAAUCAGAGAUAGGAAGAAGAAAAGACAGAUUAUCAUCAUCAUCGUGUGAUUCAUUCUUCUAUUAUU
rnacentral:ribozyme from 14 species